AUUAUAUCUUUUGCAUUGAAAAGAGCCUUUUCUUGAGCGAAUGCAGAGAUAUAAAAAUGUAAUGUUAUGGUCAUUCAAAAAUUUUCCGAAAUUUACACAAAAAUUUAGCUAAUUAGCAUCUUUUAAAUGUCUUAAAUCAUAUCGAUAUUUUUUUCAGUUUAUCGAUGAUAUUUUUUGUAAAAAUAUCGAUAUAUAUCAUCGAUUUCGAUAAUAUCGCCCAACUCUAUUGCUUGGUUCAAGCCAUUUUCAUUGCUUUUUUUACUUUUUACUUGUGUUUUACCCUAAAUUAACCCAAAAUUUGAAAGCCAAAUGAGAGGAUUGACAAAAUAAUAAAAGUUAGGAACCAUUGGCAGGUUGUUAUGAAUAUCCAAUUACUCACAAUGAAUACAUUUAAACAAGAUCCUCGUAAACAAUUUGUUGCUCUUCACCAUUUUUAUCCUCUCUGAUUUGGCUGAGUUUUUAUCUCUCUUCACUGUUAACUUCAAAGAUGAGGAUGAUUGUGUGUAAGAUGAUCUCAUGUUUUAAAGGAAAGGCUGAUUUCUUAGGAAAAAGACAAAAUCAACUAUCGAAGGCAAAGGGACACGAAAAAAGCAAAGGAUGAUGAGAAAGAUGAGGACGCAUGAUGAAGAUGAUAAUGAUGGACAAUCUAAAAUAAACCAAAUACACGCAAGUAAACAAGCAAGCAAGCCAGGAAGAGAAAAGAGCUAAAAAUAAUCAUAAAAAUGACCCUUAACCUCGACUAUUUAACCUUUUGUUUGAUCGUUAAACUCAGUGGCAAUUGUGAUAAAGAGGCUGAUCCAGUUUGGUCUGACGGUGCUAAUAAACAAUAAAUAUGUUGAUGGCGAUUCGUGGAAGGAAACACACAGCAAAACAUUGGAAACACACAAAGCGCUCAACAAGCCAAACUAAGAAUUGAACUGAUGUUUAUUGCAAUCAUAAAAUUUGAACUAGUUUGUUGUUGCCAAAAAACAAAUGAUUAUAUUUCAAAGGAAAGUUUAGCAAAAGAUUUGUAAUUUAUUUAAUUACUAUCAGAUUGGUUUCACUCUAAUUAGUGUAUAAUAUAUAUUAUACAUUAAAUAAGUUUACGAUUCAA